AUUUAACGCUGGCGGCAGGCCUAACACAUGCAAGUCGAACGAGUGGCGGACGGGUGAGUAAUGUCUGGGAAACCGCCUGCUGGCGGGGGAUAACUACUGGAAACGGUAACUAAUACCGCAUCCCAUCACCUGUUCCAAGAUGGGAUAAGCUUGUUGGUGGGGUAACGGCUCACCAAGGCGACGAUCCCUAGCUGGUCUGAGCGGCUGACCAGCCACACUGGAAAUGAGACACGGUCCAGACUCCUCCGGGAGGCCGCAGUGGGGAAUAUUGCACAAUGGGCGCAAGCCUGAUGCAGCCAUGCCGCGUGUAUGAAGAAGGCCUUCGGGUUGUAAAGUACUUUCAGCGGGGAGGCGUUACCCGCAGAAGAAGCACCGGCUAACGCCGUGCCAGCAGCCGCGGUAAUUC
rnacentral:rRNA from 1 species